rnacentral:rRNA from 1 species
UACGAAGGGGGCUAGCGUUGCUCGGAAUCACUGGGCGUAAAGGGUGCGUAGGCGGGUCUUUUAAGUCAGGGGUGAAAUCCUGGAGCUCAACUCCAGAACUGCCUUUGAUACUGGCGAUCUCGAGUUCGGGAGAGGUGAGUGGAACUGCGAGUGUAGAGGUGAAAUUCGUAGAUAUUCGCAAGAACACCAGUGGCGAAGGCGGCUCACUGGCCCGAUACUGACGCUGAGGUGCGAAAGCGUGGGGAGCAAACAGG